GGAGGAGAAUACCUAAGCUUUGAACCAGCGAAAUCUCACGAUUUCUCUGAGUUUCCUUCUGUACGAUCGUGAAUGGAGAGGAGCUGGUAGUAGAUGGCCACCUAUUACUGGUGGUGGGAAAGACGGUGGGGGAUCCUCAAUCGAGAGGAGGGAUGGGAUGAGAAACCCUAGAGGAGGGAAGGCGAACAGCUGUGGAAGCUGAAUCAAUGGAAUGGCGAACGAGUGGAUGAUCGAAGAGUAAAAACUAAAACCUUUAUUCAGUUUGCCCUAAGGCCUAAGGAUUAAAGGGUAAAGAAAAAUAUAUAUUGGGU
rnacentral:lncRNA from 1 species